rnacentral:rRNA from 1 species
AUUGAACGCUGGCGGCAUGCCUUACACAUGCAAGUCGAACGGCAGCACGGGGGCAACCCUGGUGGCGAGUGGCGAACGGGUGAGUAAUGCACCGGAACGUGCCCCGUAGCGGGGGAUAACCAGUCGAAAGACUGGCUAAUACCGCAUACGCUCCACGGAGGAAAGCAGGGGAUCGGCAAAGACCCUUGCACUAUGGGAGCGGCCGAUGCCCGAUUAGCUAGUUGGUGAGGAAAGGCUCACCAAGGCGACGAUCGGUAGCUGGUUUGAGAGAACGACCAGCCACACUGGGACUGAGACACGGCCCAGACUCCUACGGGAGGCAGCAGU